AUGCUUGUUUUAGCAGUAUAUAUACUAAAAUUGAAACGAUGCAGAAAUUAGCAUGGUCCCUUCGCAAGUAUGACAUGAAAACAUAUUAAAAAAAAAAAAAAAUCU